GACCGCUCCGGUGGCCUAGUGGUUAGAGCGUCCGCCUCAAAUGCGGGAGGUCGUGGGUUCGAUCCCCGGUCGAGUCA